rnacentral:tRNA from 1 species
GGGGGCGUAGCUCAGUUGGUUAGAGCGCCUGCCUGUCACGCAGGAGGUCACCGGUUCGAGUCCGGCCGUCCCCGCCA